rnacentral:rRNA from 1 species
GACGAACGCUGGCGGCGUGCUUAACACAUGCAAGUCGUGCGAUCUUUCUUGAUUGCGAGCUUGCUCAAAAUCAAGGUUUGAGAUAGCGGCGAACGGGUGAGUAACGCGUGGGCAACCUGCCCUAAAGACUGGGAUAACUUCUCGAAAGAGGAGCUAAUACCGGAUACCUUUGUAGAUAUGCAUAUAUUCUCAAAGAAAGCCUUCGGGUGCUUUAGGAUGGGCCCGCGUUCCAUUAGCUAGUUGGUAAGGUAACGGCUUACCAAGGCUGUGAUGGAUAGCCGGCCUGAGAGGGCGACCGGCCACACCGGGACUGAGACACGGCCCGGACUCCUACGGGAGGCAGCAGUAGGGAAUCUUCCACAAUGGACGAAAGUCUGAUGGAGCAACGCCGCGUGAGUGAAGAAGGUUUUCGGAUCGUAAAGCCCUUUUCUAGAGGAAGAGGAAGGACAGUACUCUAGGAAUAAGUCUCGGCUAACUACGUG